CCUACGGGUGGCAGCAGUGGGGAAUAUUGGGCAAUGGGCGCAAGCCUGACCCAGCAACGCCGCGUGAAGGAAGAAGGCCCUCGGGUUGUAAACUUCUUUUAUUCGGGACGAAACAAAUGACGGUACCGAAUGAAUAAGCCACGGCUAACUACGUGCCAGCAGCCGCGGUAAUACGUAGGUGGCAAGCGUUAUCCGGAUUUACUGGGUGUAAAGGGCGUGUAGGCGGGAGAGCAAGUCAGACGUGAAAUUCCAGGGCUCAACCCUGGAACUGCGUUUGAAACUGUUCUUCUUGAGUGAAGUAGAGGUUGGCGGAAUUCCGAGUGUAGCGGUGAAAUGCGUAGAUAUUCGGAGGAACACCGGUGGCGAAGGCGGCCAACUGGGCUUUAACUGACGCUGAGGCUCGAAAGUGUGGGGAGCAAACAGGAUUAGAUACCCGGGUAGUC
rnacentral:rRNA from 1 species